UUUUUUUUUUUUUUUCUCACUUUCUUUCUCUCUUUCUUUCUGAUCUCUGCAUGGCGCACACACAAGUUUGUUCAUGAUGAGAACGCGUUGACGUGUUUAUUGGAGUGUGACAGUUGCUGCACAAUUAAGAAGCUUGGAAAAAAGAUCACAGCCUGAUUUUUUUUUGUCUUGAUU
rnacentral:ribozyme from 1 species